GGUUAAGCGACUAAGCGUACACGGUGGAUGCCCUGGCAGUCAGAGGCGAUGAAGGGCGUGCUAAUCUGCGAUAAGCGCCGGUAAGGUGAUAUGAACCGUUAUAACCGGCGAUACCCGAAUGGGGAAACCCAGUGUGAUUCGUCACACUAUCAUUAACUGAAUCCAUAGGUUAAUGAGGCGAACCGGGGGAACUGAAACAUCUAAGUACCCCGAGGAAAAGAAAUCAACCGAGAUUCCCCCAGUAGCGGCGAGCGAACGGGGAGGAGCCCAGAGCCUGAAUCAGCAUGUGUGUUAGUGGAAGCGUCUGGAAAGGCGCGCGAUACAGGGUGACAGCCCCGUACACAAAAGCGCAUGUGCUGUGAGCUCGAUGAGUAGGGCGGGACACGUGGUAUCCUGUCUGAAUAUGGGGGGACCAUCCUCCAAGGCUAAAUACUCCUGACUGACCGAUAGUGAACCAGUACCGUGAGGGAAAGGCGAAAAGAACCCCGGCGAGGGGAGUGAAAAAGAACCUGAAACCGUGUACGUACAAGCAGUGGGAGCACGUUUACCUGUGUGACUGCGUACCUUUUGUAUAAUGGGUCAGCGACUUAUAUUCUGUAGCAAGGUUAACCGAAUAGGGGAGCCGGAGGGAAACCGAGUCUUAAUUGGGCGUUAAGUUGCAGGGUAUAGACCCGAAACCCGGUGAUCUAGCCAUGGGCAGGUUGAAGGUUGGGUAACACUAACUGGAGGACCGAACCGACUAAUGUUGAAAAAUUAGCGGAUGACCUGUGGCUGGGGGUGAAAGGCCAAUCAAACCGGGAGAUAGCUGGUUCUCCCCGAAAGCUAUUUAGGUAGCGCCUCGUGAAUUCAUCUCCGGGGGUAGAGCACUGUUUCGGCUAGGGGGCCAUCCCGGCUUACCAACCCGAUGCAAACUGCGAAUACCGGAGAAUGUUAUCACGGGAGACACACGGCGGGUGCUAACGUCCGUCGUGAAGAGGGAAACAACCCAGACCGCCAGCUAAGGUCCCAAAGUCAUGGUUAAGUGGGAAACGAUGUGGGAAGGCCCAGACAGCCAGGAUGUUGGCUUAGAAGCAGCCAUCAUUUAAAGAAAGCGUAAUAGCUCACUGGUCGAGUCGGCCUGCGCGGAAGAUGUAACGGGGCUAAACCAUGCACCGAAGCUGCGGCAGCGACACUCAGGUGUUGUUGGGUAGGGGAGCGUUCUGUAAGCCUGCGAAGGUGGCCUGUGAGGGUUGCUGGAGGUAUCAGAAGUGCGAAUGCUGACAUAAGUAACGAUAAAGCGGGUGAAAAGCCCGCUCGCCGGAAGACCAAGGGUUCCUGUCCAACGUUAAUCGGGGCAGGGUGAGUCGACCCCUAAGGCGAGGCCGAAAGGCGUAGUCGAUGGGAAACGGGUUAAUAUUCCCGUACUUGGUGUUACUGCGAAGGGGGGACGGAGAAGGCUAUGUUGGCCGGGCGACGGUUGUCCCGGUUUAAGCGUGUAGGCUGGUUUUCCAGGCAAAUCCGGAAAAUCAAGGCUGAGGCGUGACGACGAGGCACUACGGUGCUGAAGCAACAAAUGCCCUGCUUCCAGGAAAAGCCUCUAAGCAUCAGGUAACAUCAAAUCGUACCCCAAACCGACACAGGUGGUCAGGUAGAGAAUACCAAGGCGCUUGAGAGAACUCGGGUGAAGGAACUAGGCAAAAUGGUGCCGUAACUUCGGGAGAAGGCACGCUGACACGUAGGUGAAGUGAUUUACUCAUGGAGCUGAAGUCAGUCGAAGAUACCAGCUGGCUGCAACUGUUUAUUAAAAACACAGCACUGUGCAAACACGAAAGUGGACGUAUACGGUGUGACGCCUGCCCGGUGCCGGAAGGUUAAUUGAUGGGGUCAGCGCAAGCGAAGCUCCUGAUCGAAGCCCCGGUAAACGGCGGCCGUAACUAUAACGGUCCUAAGGUAGCGAAAUUCCUUGUCGGGUAAGUUCCGACCUGCACGAAUGGCGUAAUGAUGGCCAGGCUGUCUCCACCCGAGACUCAGUGAAAUUGAACUCGCUGUGAAGAUGCAGUGUACCCGCGGCAAGACGGAAAGACCCCGUGAACCUUUACUAUAGCUUGACACUGAACAUUGAGCCUUGAUGUGUAGGAUAGGUGGGAGGCUUUGAAGUGUGGACGCCAGUCUGCAUGGAGCCGACCUUGAAAUACCACCCUUUAAUGUUUGAUGUUCUAACGUGGACCCGUGAUCCGGGUUGCGGACAGUGUCUGGUGGGUAGUUUGACUGGGGCGGUCUCCUCCUAAAGAGUAACGGAGGAGCACGAAGGUUGGCUAAUCCUGGUCGGACAUCAGGAGGUUAGUGCAAUGGCAUAAGCCAGCUUGACUGCGAGCGUGACGGCGCGAGCAGGUGCGAAAGCAGGUCAUAGUGAUCCGGUGGUUCUGAAUGGAAGGGCCAUCGCUCAACGGAUAAAAGGUACUCCGGGGAUAACAGGCUGAUACCGCCCAAGAGUUCAUAUCGACGGCGGUGUUUGGCACCUCGAUGUCGGCUCAUCACAUCCUGGGGCUGAAGUAGGUCCCAAGGGUAUGGCUGUUCGCCAUUUAAAGUGGUACGCGAGCUGGGUUUAGAACGUCGUGAGACAGUUCGGUCCCUAUCUGCCGUGGGCGCUGGAGAACUGAGGGGGGCUGCUCCUAGUACGAGAGGACCGGAGUGGACGCAUCACUGGUGUUCGGGUUGUCAUGCCAAUGGCACUGCCCGGUAGCUAAAUGCGGAAGAGAUAAGUGCUGAAAGCAUCUAAGCACGAAACUUGCCCCGAGAUGAGUUCUCCCUGAGACUUUAGGUCUCCUGAAGGAACGUUGAAGACGACGACGUUGAUAGGCCGGGUGUGUAAGCGCAGCGAUGCGUUGAGCUAACCGGUACUAAUGAACCGUGAGGCUUAACCUU
rnacentral:rRNA from 1 species